rnacentral:rRNA from 1 species
AUUUACACAUGCAAGUCUCAGCACCCCCGUGAGAACGCCCUAAAACCCCCUGCUCGGGGCAAGGAGCUGGUAUCAGGCACAUAUCUAACCCAUGACACCUAGCUAUGCCACAUCCUCAAGGAAUUUCAGCAGUGAUCAAUAUUGAAAAUACGCGUCAGCAAGAUUCAGUUAAAGUACAGAGAGCCGGCAAAAUUGGUGCCAGCCGCCGCGGUUACACCAAUAGACUCAAAUUGAUUAUAUCGGCGUAAAGCGUGAUUAAAGUGUUCCCCCCCCCGAUUAAAGAUAGAACCCUCACUAAGCUGUGACACGCUUGUGCCUGAGAAAAUCAAAAACGUAAGUUAUCUUAAUUAACCCCACUUGAAUUCACGACAGUUGAGACACAAACUGGGAUUAGAUACCCCACUAUGCUUAACCGUAAACUUUUAAUUACAAUAUAAACGCCAGAGAACUACGAGCAAAGCUUAAAACUCAAAGGACUUGACGGUACCCCAUAUCCACCUAGAGGAGCCUGUCCUAUAAUCGAUAACCCCCGCUUUACCUCACCAUUUUUAGUCGUCAGCCUGUAUACCUCCGUCGUCAGCUUACCACGUGAGCGAACCACAGUGAGCCUAAUGUCUACACGUCAACACGUCAGGUCAAGGUGCAGUUAACAAAAUGUGGAAGAGAUGGGCUACACUCUCUAAUUUAGAAAACACGAAAAACUUUAUGAAACCUAGUUAGAAGGCGGAUUUAGCAGUAAAAAGAAACUAGAGAGUUCUUUUUAAUACGGCACUGGGGUGUGUACACACCGCGGGGAAACCCUCUUCAAAAUUUCAUUUUACAGUAUUUAACUAAUUC